rnacentral:rRNA from 1 species
CAGGACGAACGCUGGCGGCACGCUUAACACAUGCAAGUCGAACGGUGAAUAGAAGCUUGCUUCUAGGAUCAGUGGCGGACGGGUGAGUAACACGUGAGCAACCUGCCUUUAAGAGGGGAUAACGUUCGGAAACGGACGCUAAUACCGCAUAACAUAUGGGAUUCGCAUGUUUUCCAUAUCAAAGAUUUAUCGCUUAGAGAUGGGCUCGCGUCUGAUUAGCUAGUUGGUGAGGUAACGGCUCACCAAGGCGACGAUCAGUAGCCGGACUGAGAGGUUGAACGGCCACAUUGGGACUGAGACACGGCCCAGACUCCUACGGGAGGCAGCAGUGGGGAAUAUUGCACAAUGGGCGCAAGCCUGAUGCAGCGAUGCCGCGUGAGGGAAGAAGGUUUUCGGAUUGUAAACCUCUGUCUUCAGGGACGAUAAUGACGGUACCUGAGGAGGAAGCUCCGGCUAACUACGUG